rnacentral:rRNA from 1 species
UAAAUUGAGAGUUUGAUCCUGGCUCAGGAUGAACGCUGGCGGCGUGGAUAAGGCAUGCAAGUCGAAUGGGUUUAGACCCAUGGCAAACGGGUUCAGAUAACAUAGGAAUCUACCCUCGAGUCGCGAAUAAUCCGGAGAAAUCCGGAAGAAUACGCGAUACCCUCUACGGAGGAAUGGUUUACCGCUCGGGGAGGAGCCUGUGUCCUAUCAGCUUGUUGGUGAGGUAAUAGCUCACCAAGGCUAUGACGGGUAGGGGGUGUGAGAGCACGGCCCCCAACAUUGGAACUGAGACACUGUCCAAACACCUACGGGUGGCUGCAGUCGAGAAUAUUCCACAAUGGACGAAAGUCUGAUGGAGCGACGCCGCGUGCAGGAUGACGGUCUUCGGAUUGUAAACUGCUUUUCUACGGGAAAAAUUACGAUGAUGGUACCGUAGGAAUAAGAGGUUACUAACUCUGUGCCAGCAGUAGCGGUAAUACAGAGACCUCAAGCGUUAUCCGGAUUUAUUGGGCGUAAAGCGUAAGUAGGCGGGCAUAUUAGUCGGGCGUCAAAGCUCGGGGCUCAACCCCGAAAGGGCGUUCGAAACGGUAUGUCUAGAGAGUGUGAGAGAUUGAUGGAAUUCAUGGUGUAGUAGUGAAAUGCGUUGAUAUCAUGAGGAACACCCAAGGCGUAGGCAAUCAAUUGGCACAUUUCUGACGCUCAGUUACGAAAGCGUGGGUAGCGAAUGGGAUUAGAUACCCCAGUAGUCCACGCCCUAAACGAUGCAUACUAGGUGUGGGGAGAAUCGACCCUCUCUGUGCCGUAGCUAACGCGUUAAGUAUGCCGCCUGGGAAGUACGAGCGCAAGCUUAAAACUCAAAGGAAUAGACGGGGAUCCGCACAAGUGGUGGAGCAUGUGGUUUAAUUCGACAGUAAGCGAGGCACCUCACCAAGGUUUGAAAUCUAGCUGCAGGGCCCAGAAAUGGGACGUUCUUCGAGAGUGCUAGACCAGGUGCUGCAUGGUUGUCGUCAGCUCGUGUCGUAAGAUGUUCCGUUCAGUCGGGAAACGAGCGCAACCCCUAUCAAGUGUUACAUGUGUCACUUGAGACUGCCCAGCCCUUUGCGUGUGAACACGCAAGAAAAUCAGAAAUCUGAAUAUCGAAAUCCGAAACGUUUAGGAUUUAAGAUUUAGAAUUUCGAGUUUCUCUUGUUUGUCUCGCAAACAAAGGGCUGGGAGGAAGGCGGGGAUGACGUCAAAUCAGCAUGGCCCUCUGACACCUUGGGCGACACACGUGCUACAAUGGCCGACAUAAUGGGCUGCCAACCCGCGAGGGGGAGCUAAUCUCAAAAAUUCGGUCUCAGUUCGGAUUGCAGGCUGCAACUCGCCUGCAUGAAGCUGGAAUCACUAGUAAUCGGGAAUCAGCCACGUCCCGGUGAAUACGUUCUCGGAUCUUGUACUCACCGCCCGUCACACCAAGAGAGCUGGCAAUACCAGAAGGUCCCCUGUCAAACGGGGAACUACGGUAGGGUCAGUAAUAAGGGUGAAGUCGUAACAAGGCAUCCGUAGCGGAAGCUGUGGAUGAAUCACCUCCUUU